CCCGCCGGACCUGACUGCUAUCGGAUUGAUACUAANCCAUGCGAGUCAUUGUAGCAAUACAAGGCAUACGGCUCAGUAACGCGUAGUCAACCUAACCUAUGGACGGGAAUAACCUCGGGAAACUGAGAAUAAUGCCCGAUAGAACAUUAUGCCUGGAAUGGUUUAUGUUCCAAAUGAUUUAUCGCCGUAGGAUGGGACUGCGGCCUAUCAGUUUGUUGGUGAGGUAAUGGCCCACCAAGACUAUUACAGGUACGGGCUCUGAGAGGAGUAGCCCGGAGAUGGGUACUGAGACACGGACCCAGGCCCUAUGGGGCGCAGCAGGCGAGAAAACUUUGCAAUGUGCGAAAGCACGACAAGGUUAAUCCGAGUGGUUUCUGCUAAAGGAACCUUUUGUCAGUCCUAGAAACACUGAUGAAUAAGGGGUGGGCAAGUUCUGGUGUCAGCCGCCGCGGUNAAACCAGCACCUCAAGUGGUCAGGAUGAUUAUUGGGCCUANAGCAUCCGUAGCCGGCUCUGUAAGUUUUCGGUUAAAUCUGUGCGCUCAACGUACAGGCUGCCGGGAAUACUGCAAAGCUAGGGAGUGGGAGAGGUAGACGGUACUCGGUAGGAAGGGGUAAAAUCCUUUGAUCUAUUGAUGACCACCUGUGGCGAA
rnacentral:rRNA from 1 species